GAUGAACGCUGGCGGCGUGCCUAAUACAUGCAAGUCGAGCGAACAGACGAGGAGCUUGCUCCUCUGACGUUAGCGGCGGACGGGUGAGUAACACGUGGAUAACCUACCUAUAAGACUGGGAUAACUUCGGGAAACCGGAGCUAAUACCGGAUAAUAUAUUGAACCGCAUGGUUCAAUAGUGAAAGACGGUUUUGCUGUCACUUAUAGAUGGAUCCGCGCCGCAUUAGCUAGUUGGUAAGGUAACGGCUUACCAAGGCCACGAUGCGUAGCCGACCUGAGAGGGUGAUCGGCCACACUGGAACUGAGACACGGUCCAGACUCCUACGGGAGGCAGCAGUAGGGAAUCUUCCGCAAUGGGCGAAAGCCUGACGGAGCAACGCCGCGUGAGUGAUGAAGGUCUUCGGAUCGUAAAACUCUGUUAUUAGGGAAGAACAACUGUGUAAGUAACUAUGCACGUCUUGACGGUACCUAAUCAGAAAGCCACGGCUAACUACGUG
rnacentral:rRNA from 1 species